UACGGGGGAGCAAGCGUUGUUCGGAUUUACUGGGCGUAAAGGGCGCGUAGGCGGUCGUGACAAGUCACUUGUGAAAUCUCCGGGCUUAACUCGGAACGGUCAAGUGAUACUGUCGGACUAGAGUACAGAAGGGCAACUGGAAUUCUCGGUGUAGCGGUGAAAUGCGCAGAUAUCAGGAGGAACACCGAUGGCGAAGGCAGGUCUCUGGCAUUAACUGACGCUGAGGAGCGAAGCAUGGGAGCGAACAGG
rnacentral:rRNA from 1 species